rnacentral:rRNA from 1 species
GCGCACGCUGGCGGCAGGCUUAACACAUGCAAGUCGCGCGGGCCCUUCGGGGUCAGCGGCAGACGGGUGAGUAACACGUGGGAACGUACCCUUUGGUUCGGAAUAACGCUGGGAAACUAGCGCUAAUACCGGAUACGCCCUUUUGGGGAAAGGCUUGCUGCCGAAGGAUCGGCCCGCGUCUGAUUAGCUAGUUGGUGGGGUAAUGGCCUACCAAGGCGACGAUCAGUAGCUGGUCUGAGAGGAUGAUCAGCCACACUGGGACUGAGACACGGCCCAGACUCCUACGGGAGGCAGCAGUGGGGAAUAUUGGACAAUGGGCGCAAGCCUGAUCCAGCCAUGCCGCGUGAGUGAUGAAGGCCUUAGGGUUGUAAAGCUCUUUUGUCCGGGACGAUAAUGACGGUACCGGAAGAAUAAGCCCCGGCUAACUUCGUG